CCUUAUCUCUUUGUCCCGAUAAUAGAUUUUGGGUUUCUCUGUGAUUUUCACACUUGGAAUCCUAAUUCUCAUCUGUGAUUUUUGUUGUCAAUCGAAAGUGAGACAGAGUAAAUCACAAGCUCAUACAUGUCUGAUCAUCAUUUCCACCCUUAUUGAAGUCAUUUCUCGCUUAGGAAAGAAUGGAUAAUCCAGCAAUAGAUACACCUCCGCCAUUGAAAUGAAACUCAAAUGAUGUAGGCUGGGAGUAUGGUUUGCUAUGUGAUCCACGACUUUCAUAAAAAGUGAGAUGUAGGUUAUGUGGCAAAGAGUUUUCUGGUGGCAACAUAAAAAGUGAGAUGUAGGUUUUGUUUUUGUAUUAGAUGUGGCCGAAGAAACAACAGUUGUAAUAUAUGAUCUAACUUGGUGUUUGAUGAACUUUUAUAUAUUUAAAAUUAAAAUUUUAUUAAAA